GGUCUAGAUGACUGUCAGUCGGGUGAGAUAACCUGAGAAAGGCUCUGGCAGGUCAAGGCACUUCAGUGACAGUUUUUGGGAAGAGAGCAGUCAGCAGAGCUGCCUCCCCUGAUGGGUGUCUGAAAUGGAAAUCCCACCUCUCCCUCUUGCAGCAUAUUUAAGUGGAAGUUCACUGCCCUGGUGGGCACCUGGGUUUUUUAACUGGCCUCUGAGACACACCUGAGGCAACCGCGGCACAAAGCAUUCCAAGGAAAACCACGGACACCUUUGACUGGAACUCAAAGCAGCACAAUGAUGUUUCCUUUUGUUUCAAUCAUUCCAAUUCCAGAUCAGAUACCCCAGUGGGUUUGGGUGCUGCCCCAGGGACUGCAACACCUCGCACCUCUGAGCCCCUGCUGUGAUGAAAAGCUGCAGAGAAAAC
rnacentral:lncRNA from 12 species